GCGUCUGUAGCCUAGUUGGUACAGGAAGCACUCUAGUAUGUGUCUCAGCAGUGCUGAGGUUGUGGGUUCAAGUCCCACCAGACACA
rfam:Puccinia sorghi strain RO10H11247 Scaffold_9472, whole genome shotgun sequence.